GUUCAUAGUGCUGGCUUAUUCUUCAGGUCCAUUCAGGAAGAACUUUUCCAGGAGAGAUCUUACUGAUAGAGCUUUUGCACAACUAUAAUGUCAUCUACUUGGAAUAUCCAGGCCAAAAAGGACCAGGAAGAACUUCUGGAAGUAAAGAUAGAGGACCAGGAGGAGGAAGAGAAUAAAUAUACCUCCAGACAGGAUGAGAGCCUUCAAAAGAACAACAGAGAGGUCUUUCGACAAUACUUCAGGCAGUUCUACUACCAGGAAACAUCUGGACCUCGGGAAGCUUUGAGCCGACUCCGGGAGCUUUGCCAUCAAUGGCUGAGGCCAGAGACUCACACCAAAGAACAGGUCCUGGAGCUGCUGGUGCUGCAGCAGUUCCUGACCAUCCUACCUGAGGAACUUCAAGCCUGGUUACAGGAGCAGCAUCCAGAAAAUGGAGAGGAGGUGGUGAAUGUGCUGGAAGAUUUAGAGAAAGAGC
rnacentral:lncRNA from 1 species